UGGGGAAUUUUGGACAAUGGGGGAAACCCUGAUCCAGCCAUGCCGCGUGUGUGAAGAAGGCCUUCGGGUUGUAAAGCACUUUCGGACGGAACGAAAUUGCAAGGGUGAAUAUCCCUUGUAGAUGACGGUACCGUAAGAAGAAGCACCGGCUAACUACGUGCCAGCAGCCGCGGUAAUACGUAGGGUGCGAGCGUUAAUCGGAAUUACUGGGCGUAAAGCGUGCGCAGGCGGCUUCGCAAGUCAGACGUGAAAGCCCCGGGCUUAACCUGGGAAUGGCGUUUGAAACUACGAAGCUGGAGUGUGGCAGAGGGAGGUAGAAUUCCACGUGUAGCAGUGAAAUGCGUAGAUAUGUGGAGGAAUACCGAUGGCGAAGGCAGCCUCCUGGGCCAACACUGACGCU
rnacentral:rRNA from 1 species